UGUUGGAAGUGGCUUUGAAGUUUCGAAAUGCCUUCAUCUCAUUAGAUAUUCAGGAUAGAAGAUUUGCCGAAGAGCUUUCCAAGGUGAGAGGAUUGCCUACUGAUGAUGAUUGGGAUUAUGCCCGUAGAUUUCUUCCUUUCUUGAAGUUGUUUUAUGAUGCAACUUUAAAAGUAUCGGGCUUUUCUUACGUCACUUGCAAUGAUAUGGCAAAAGAUGUCUAUGGGAUUUAUAUGAUGAUUGAUAAAUAUUGUGAGGAUGAGGAUAGGAGUUUGCAAGAAAUAGCCAAGAGAAUGAAGAUUAAGUUCAAUAAGUAUUUUGGGAAUGUGAACAACAUAAAUCUCACAUGGUUCAUUGCAUGUAUACUUGACCCUCGACAUAAGAUGGAGUAUGUGAAAUGGAUGAUUAAUAAAGUGUAUGACGGCAAUCGGGCAGAAACUUUGUGAGAUAGAGUGACAAAAUCUUUGACGUUAUUAUUUGAGCAAUAUCGCACCGGUACAUGCCCCCAAAGCAACAUGAGAUUAAAGGGGACAAGGACAGUGAACGUUUCAAUGUCUCCUGUGGUUGGUGCGGACAUUAUGACUGCAAUGUAUCUUAGCCAAACGGGACAAGAAUAUGUGGAAGAAAAAUCUGAAUUAGAUAAGUAUUUAGAAGAAGGAUGUGAACGGUAUAGCUCCACCUUUGAUAUAUUAAAUUGGUGGAAAGUUAAUUCUUCUAGAUAUCCUAUCUUAUCUUCUAUUGCUCGAGAUAUUUUGGCCGUGCCCAUCUCCACUGUAGCAUCAGAGUCUGCAUGCAGCACCGGGGGUCGAGUACUUGAUGUAUUUCGUAGCUCUUUGACCCCACUGAUGGUAGAAGCUCUUAUAUGUACUCAAGAUUGGCUACGAUCUGCACCACUUUCACAAUCGAUCGAGGAGAACUUAGAAGAACUUGAAAAUUUUGAGUCGGAGUUGUCAUCUACGACCAUGGACCUGAAUUCAAUAGCAAUUUCUCUUGAUGAUUGAAUGUCGUCUUUAAGCUCGAAGAAAGCUCGAAGAGGGUAUACAAAAGAAAGGAGCAGCAUUGUGGUUAUUGGGCUUAGCGUGCACACAACUCCUGUGGAGAUGCGUGAGAAACUUGCCAUUCCCGAGGCAGAAUGGCCUUGAGCCAUUGGAGAACUCUGUAGUUUGAAUCAUAUAGAAGAAGUGGUUGUAAUAUAAUGGAGAUAUAUGUUGUUGCUUUGUCUCAGCAUCGUGGGGUUUUUAGAAGUGACUGAAUGGAUGUCUAAUGUGAUUUACUUUUGCUCCUUGCCAUGACUAUAAUUUGGAUUCUUGCAAUAAUUAAUUGCCCUAUGAUACUUGUUUUAUGGAUGAAAAGCACUAGUUUCCUUUGA